rnacentral:lncRNA from 1 species
ACCCACAUAAACCCAAUACCCAAGAUUGGCCCAAUAACCAAUACCUAACCCAAUUACCUCACCCAACCUAAAAUAAACCAAAUAAAAAAUUAAAAAAUAAAAAAAUUAAAACACCCCAAUCCCUAAUUCCCCAACUCAUCUUCUCCAUCUUCUUCAUCUUCUUCAAAACAAAACCUAAACCCAAUACCAAGCCACGCCGCCGCCGUCAUACUCCCCAUCGCUGACCCCCACCGUCGCAUCAUUGGCCCAACACCGUCGCACCUACCAUCG